ensembl:lncRNA
UGUUUGUAUGUGGCACUAUGUGCGCAGCAGAUGCAGCGAUCUUUAUCUCUCAUUCAUGGCGUCCAAGGAAAUGUAGCGUAAGCUGGUUAACAGUCAUUUUCUCGGUAUCUGCCUGCCUGCCAGAGAUGUGCUGAUAAUCACUACUUUGUCGCUCAUGCAGCCACCUGCCGUCUUGUUUUGUGGAAACUGAGGUGCCCCGCCAACAUCAAAGGAGGUAAAGGAUGGUUUGGUAUCUCUGUGUGCCUGUGCCUUCCAAUGUAUAAAACAGCCCGGCUUUCAGCCCCAAGACACAGGCGGGGAGCUGCCGAGGAAAUUUAAUUUCACGACUACCACAUUGCUACCUGGCAGUCUCUAAACCACCGUACAAACACAAGACACUUCACCUCCCAGCCAUGGAGCAUGACAUCAAUCCUUUGACGGGUUUCUCCUCUGGCUUCUUUAAGUUGGAUGUCAACCCGUUAUUUGGAUAUCGGGAAAUAAUGCACCUCGCCCAUUGAAAGAAGAGGACAUGAGACCUUCAUCCUCUCUCAAUCAUCGGCCGUGCUCACCCUGAACAUCCAGGAUAGCUGCAGAUUUUCUGGAAUCAUUCAAAGGGUGCAUGUGGUCAUGUGCCACGUUAUAUAUAAAUGAAUAAAUAAAUAACAGAAGCCAAGGCUAUGCCACUCGUGCCAAUGUAUAAAUCUAUUAAACAGAAGUAAUACAGAUUACCAUUCUUGUUUUAUUUUGGUAUUUGCUACAUAAAGGAACAUUAAUAUGAAGAUAUUAACUCCUUUUUAUAUGGUAAUAUGAAUAUCAAUAAAAAUGGGGC